CGGCUGGGAGGGGCCUCCGUGCCAGGCUGCGUGUAAGCUCUCCUGGGUUCCCGCCUCCUGGGUUUGUCCUGCCUUCAGAGGGGGUUGGGCCAAUCCGGGGAGCAGGACUGCUUGACGGACGACUUCUCAGGCUCCAGGCCGAGGUGAACUUCUAGGCUGUACUCGGACUUCUUAGGGGGGAAGAACGGCUGUCCCGAAGCCCACCGGGCGCCUGCACCGUGGCUGCGGGAGUGGACUCGGGCCUGUCCCGCGGCGUUCCGCUGGGCUGCACUGCUCUGCCAGCCCUGCCUUCAUUCUUGUCUGGGGAGCAACCUGAUGCCCCCAGAAGAUUCCUCUCAGCUUCGUCCGGGGCCUGCGCCUUUGUGUGGGUGGCCGAGUGGUACCCACGCCCCUGGGACCGCACCUGCCACACCGGUCCAGAGACACUUCUGCCUCGUGGAGAGGAAGGGCUUCCUGGUCUUGGCCGACUGCACUUGGAGCGACUGUGGAAGCGCUGGGCGUUGUUGGAACACCGUGUGCACCCUGACUGUUGACUUCCUGGCACCUGUGGAAGACGGGGGCUGCACCUUCCCCGGUUACAGACGCGACUCCUCCAGCAGCUGCUUCAGCACUGAGAGCGGUCCCUGGGGGCCGAAAGCGUGGAAUGCAGCUCCUCCCCCUCCUCCGCAGAAUAGGCACCGAGGGCAUGCACGGUGCUGGGGUGCAGGCAUGUUGGGUGCAUGGGUGUUGGGAUACAUGAUACUGCAGUGCAUGCAUAUUUGGGGUGCAUGCAUGUUGGGGUGCACAGUACUGGGGUGCACAGAUCUUGGGGUGCAUGCAUGUUGGGAUGCAUGGGUAUUGGGGUGCAUUGAUGGGGUGCAUGCAUGUUGGGUGCACAGAUGUUGGGGUACACAGAUGUUAGGGUGCAUGGGUGUUUGGGUGUAUGGAUGUUGGGUGCACAGAUGUUGAGGCUCAUGGGGGUGCAUGGAUGUUGGGAUGCAUAUAUGUUGGGGUACACAUAUGUCGGGCUGCAGGCAUGUUGAGGGAGCACAUGUAUUGGGGUACAUGGUAUUGCAAUGCAUGCAUAUUGGGGUGCAUGGGGGUGCAUGGAUGUUGGGAUACAUGAUACUGCAGUGCAUGCAUAUUUGGGGUGCACAGAUGUUGGGGUGCACAGUAUUGGGGUGCACAGAUCUUGGGGUGCAUGGAUGUUGGGAUGCAUGGGUAUCGGGGUGCAUUGAUGGGGUACAUGCAUGUUGGGUGUACAGAUGUUGGGGUACACAGAUGUUAGGAUGCAUGGGUGUUGGGGUGCAUGGGUGUUGGGGUACAUGGAUGUUGGGGUGCACACAUGUGGAGCUGCAGAAAGUGAACUCCUUGUGCCUUUUUCUUAUUAGCAAAUUAAGUCCUUGCUUCUUAAUUUUGCUGCAAAUUUACAAAAUUUAGAUGAUUUUCUGAGACCGGAAGUCAUGUUCAGUUGUUCUAGAUGCGCCCGACUCCCAGUGCAGGUCAGAGGGGCCCUGAAGGCACAGUAUUGCCACCCACAUUCAGAACAGGAACUCCGUGUGCUAAGAAAGCAAGUGUUGUGACUUCUGGAUCUCAGUGGAUUCGGUGUUGGAGUAGCACAGUUCUCCGGUGCAGCUUCUCUGAGCAGGUGCACGACUGCCCACAGGUGAGCGUCAGAGGCCAUGGAGGUCGCGCAGGGGCCCUGGUGCAACCACAGCGCUCACCUGCCGAAGCCCUGGCCCCUGUCUGUAGCCCUCGACUCCUGUGGUAAACCUGGCCACAUCCCAUCACCACCUGGCUCCCCUGAACUUCAUCAGAGCAAACCCAUCUGUACCCCUUUCUGCACAAGACCCCAGCUGAGUGCCACUGUGCCUGCUCACGUGGCCAGGGGAGCGAGGAGGCCCCAACCCCACGGUCCUCCCUCCCCACAGUCCACCUGCCCGUUGGCACAAUGGACCAGACCGGCCCC
rnacentral:lncRNA from 1 species